UGGACUGGAGAGAAAUGAAAAGUUGGUAAGACGUUGUCUUGAUCAUGUUUCUCAAUCUGGCAUGACAAAUGGAUACUUCAUAGCAACGAAUGCCACAUCAACAUUCCGAUCCAUUGUUUCCAGUUACCCUGGUGAUCUUGUGCUUGUGUCAAUUCAGUGUCCGAAUCCAGAUUUCAAUAGAACAGAACACCGAUGGAGGAUGGUGCAGAGAUCAUUAGUUGAAGCAAUAGCAGACUUGGUAGCUCCUGAUGGGAAGGUAUUUCUCCAAUCUGAUGUAAAAGAAGUUGCAGUGAGAAUGAAAAAAGAGUUUAUGAAUUAUGGCAAGGGCAAGCUCACAGUAAUGCACGAUUCGGAAGAUAUCACAAGUCAGCAAGAUGGAUGGCUGAACGAAAACCCCUUUGGCAUUCGAUCAGAUUGGGAGCAACAUGUUAUAGAACGUGGCGCUCCUAUGUACAGAUUACUGCUAUUGAAAUCUUCAUCUUCUGGUUGAGAUAGUUACAACAGGGUGGAUUAUUCAACAAACAAAUUCCCCGAGAUGGUCUCGGAGUUUGAACGGAGAGUGUGAAAAGAAACAGGAGCUGAAACAUAGUACCAAAACUAACCAUUGGCACCAAAGUGAGAGAGCUCAGGUUUUGCUCAGUAUAUUGCAGUAAUCUGAGUAUAGCAGAAAAUGACAAUAAGUUGGA
rnacentral:misc_RNA from 1 species